GACGUAGGGCGCGAGCGUUGUCCGGAUUUAUUGGGCGUAAAGAGCUCGUAGGCGGCUCGUUGCGUCGGCUGUGAAAACCCAUGGCUCAACCGUGGGCUUGCAGCCGAUACGGGCAGGCUAGAGUUCGGUAGGGGAGACUGGAAUUCCUGGUGUAGCGGUGAAAUGCGCAGAUAUCAGGAGGAACACCGGUGGCGAAGGCGGGUCUCUGGGCCGAUACUGACGCUGAGGAGCGAAAGCGUGGGGAGCGAACAGG
rnacentral:rRNA from 1 species